AAAAUGACUUCCUCUAAACGAUUACUUACCAUAUUCGUGCUUAUUUCUUUAAACAUCGCCUGUACUCUAAGUGCCUGUGACACCCUGGACCGGUACUUUUACAUACGACAUAAAGCAAGUGGUCUUGUUCUAGCUAGUCGUAACCAGAACGUAGGUUUAGAAGCCUAUGACCCUAGCAUUUAUUAUCAGCAGUACCAACAAUGGAGAUUUUUGCUUGCCCCGAGGACUGGACUAUAUAUCAUUCAUGUAAAGUUUUCAGUGGGCGCUCUAGAUUUUAAUAAAGACAAUUACGCCAUUACUCGAUACGAUGAAGUCGAUUCUAUUUAUCAGCAGUGGUUUGUAAAUGGAGAUGGUACUAUUGUUAAUGGGGCUGUGUAUGGGUAUGGACUUACAGUUAACAGGACGGCAUGGGAUGCUGAUAAUACGUUGUUUUUGGGGCCAGUUGUAGCUGGCAGUGAGGAUCAUAUUUUUGAAUUGAUUACAGCAGACAGUUAUUAUAAGUUGUUAGAAAAAUAGGUUCAUAUUGUUAGCCAACUCAUUUUAAAUAAAUGUUUUAAAAUUAUUUUCUGUUUUA